rnacentral:rRNA from 1 species
UACGUAGGGGGCAAGCGUUGUCCGGAAUCAUUGGGCGUAAAGAGCGUGUAGGCGGCCCGGUAAGUCCGCUGUGAAAGUCCAGGGCUCAACCCUGGGAUGCCGGUGGAUACUGUCGGGCUCGAGUCCGGAAGAGGAGUGUGGAAUUCCUGGUGUAGCGGUGAAAUGCGUAGAUAUCGUAAGGAAGACCAGUGGCGAAGGCGGGUCUCUGGACAGUUCCUGACGCUGAGGCACGAAGGUCAGGGGAGCAAACGGG